GAUCUCUGAUUUUUACCUUACAGCCAGGGUCCUCUCCACCAUGGAGUUUCUACCUGUGUGACAAGCCACGAUGUCAUAAAAGACAUUGUGAUGACCCAGAAAUACCCAGCCAACCAUAUUAAGAAGAGAAAAAGUUUUCUGAGAAAAAGUUAUUCUAUAGUUAGUAAUCUAUGGUGUUGAAAUUUUUCAGAAGCCAUCACCAGCCAACCAUAUUAAGAAGAGAAAAAGUUUUCUGAGAAAAAGUUAUUCUAUAGUUAGUAAUCUAUGGUGUUGAAAUUUUUCAGAAGCCAUCACCAGCCAACCAUAUUAAGAAGAGAAAAAGUUUUCUGAGAAAAAGUUAUUCUAUAGUUAGUAAUCUAUGGUGUUGAAAUUUUUCAGAAGCCAUCACUAUGUUAAUCUAUAUGGUAAUGUUAACAUGUUAUUGCCAUUGAUGGAAUCCAUUGAAAAGUUGGUCAUAUAGGCGUUUUAGUGCCUCUUCUUUGUUCAGAGGAAUGGAGCCUUCUCUUCACCCCAUUGCCAUUAGAAGUUGGCAUUUUCUCUCUGUUCGUCUGAUAUGGUUGAAGACAAGCAUCUGCUUCCUUUGUAAGAUUCCCCCACAGGGCUCCUAAGCACUAUUCUUGGAAAACUGCCAAUUUUGCUUAUAAAAUAAAAUAUCUGCUAAAUAUCUGGUGAGUGCCUACAGCCCGGCCCUGUUUUCUGCAGUUCUGAGGAGUGCUAUCUGCAGUGACUAAAAAAAUUCCACCAGGAAACCAUCUGUAGGGGAAUUUUUUACUUCACCAGAAGCAGGAAGUCACAGAAAUCUCCUAAGUAGAGAAAAAGGUCACAGAUGCAUGCGCCAGAGCCAGCAGAACAGCAAAAACCAAGACUGGAUAGCCGAGCACUUCGGGAAUGGGUUGGUGUUCCAUAAAAGGAGAGCUUUGGCUAUUCAGGGUUUGGCUAUUCAGACAAACACAAUGGCAAUACAGAUGCUAACAUAUCAAUAUUAACUCUAAAUGUAAAUGGACUAAACUCU